ensembl:misc_RNA 7SK 7SK RNA
UGGUUGUAAGACACUCUAGCCUGCAACAUGUCACUGAAUUUAUUGGCAGGCUUGAUUCUGCUCAUCAGGCUGGCUAGUUAUGUGUCACUGUCCUUACUCACUGCUCAAUGUGUGCCUCUUCUGAAGUUUCAUUCUCAGCCAAAGGGAAUGACCUUCCCAAUAGAGGAAGGCUAUUCAGGUAGCCAUUGCUUUACUAGAACCACCACUCUAGUUUUCAAGAAACCCCAAAUUCUAUUCUGCUUGUAGAAUAAACUUCAUU